UUUACAGAGUUUAUUGGCAUUCUGUCCACCUCCACUUGCUCUUUGGAUCUCCACGGAGGAGGAGAGGAGGUGGACAUACUGCCAACUGAUCUCUGUUAG
rnacentral:pre_miRNA from 1 species